GCAAGUGGUAGGAAGUCCGAAAGGUAGACCGGACCCUUCGGGGAGGCUUGCACAGUGCUGCAUGGCUGUCGUCAGCUCGUGUCGUGAGAUGUUCGGUUAAGUCCGCUAACGAGCGCAACCCUCGUCGUGUGUUAUACGUGUCACACGAUACUGCCGGUAUCAAGCCGGAGGAAGGUGGGGAUGAUGUCAAGUCAGCAUGGCCUUUAUAUCCUGGGCUACACACACGCUACAAUGGCAGAUACAAUAGGUCGCUAAACCGCGAGGUGGAGCCAAUCCUCAAAGUCUGUCUCAGUUCAGAUUGUAGGCUGCAACUCGCCUGCAUGAAGUCGGAGUUGCUAGUAAACGCAGGUCAGCUAUACUGCGUUGAAUACGUUCCCGGGUUU
rnacentral:rRNA from 1 species